UUAUACUUUCGUCUUCCUCCUCAGCGUUGAACACCCCAGCAACAAGCUAUUCCACUUCACAACCACCAGAUGUCUCCACCAGCUCAACAUUCAACUCCACGAUCAUUUUCUCCAUCUCGUAGCAAUUCUCUUCCACAAGGGAGGCAUUAAAAGCAUCGUCUUCUCUAGUGAGGUGGUCCAUGUACGUUGUCUUCUCCCUUAUUUGUGAAGCAUUUUCAUUUAUGGACCCCUUAUUUUGGAAGAUAAAUAUUG
rnacentral:lncRNA from 1 species